ensembl:rRNA 5S_rRNA 5S ribosomal RNA
GUCUACGGCCACGCCAGCCUGAACAAGCGCGAUCCCAUUUGAUCUUGGAAGCAAAGCAGGAUCAGGCCUGGUUAGUACUUUGAUGGGAGACUACCUAGGAAGAUCAGGUGCUGUAGGUG